UCGAGCGAACGUAUUAGCGGAAGUUUUCGGAUGGAAGCGGAUAUGACUUAGCGGCGGACGGGUGAGUAACGCGUGGAUAACCUGCCUCAUACAGGGGGAUAACAGUUAGAAAUGACUGCUAAUACCGCAUAAGCGCACAGGACCGCAUGGUCCGGUGUGAAAAACUCCGGUGGUAUGGGAUGGAUCCGCGUCUGAUUAGCUGGUUGGUGAGGUAACGGCCCACCAAGGCGACGACCAGUAGCCGACCUGAGAGGGUGGCCGGCCACAUUGGGACUGAGACACGGCCCAAACUCCUACGGGAGGCAGCAGUGGGGAAUAUUGCACAAUGGGGGAAACCCUGAUGCAGCAACGCCGCGUGAGUGAAGAAGUAUUUCGGUAUGUAAAGCUCUAUCAGCAGGGAAGAAGAAAGACGGUACCUGACUAAGAAGCCCCGGCUAACUACGUGCCAGCAGCCGCGGUAAUACGUAGGGGGCAAGCGUUAUCCGGAUUUACUGGGUGUAAAGGGAGCGUAGACGGCUGUGCAAGUCUGAAGUGAAAGCCCGUGGCUCAACCGCGGAACUGCUUUGGAAACUGUAUAGCUUGAGUACUGGAGAGGCAGGCGGAAUUCCUAGUGUAGCGGUGAAAUGCGUAGAUAUUAGGAGGAACACCAGUGGCGAAGGCGGCCUGCUGGACAGAAACUGACGUUGAGGCUCGAAAGCGUGGGGAGCAAACAGGAUUAGAUACCCUGGUAGUCCACGCGGUAAACGAUGAAUGCUAGGUGUUGGGGAGCAAAGCUCUUCGGUGCCGUCGCAAACGCAGUAAGCAU
rnacentral:rRNA from 1 species